rnacentral:rRNA from 1 species
GACGACCAGCCACACUGGGACUGAGACACGGCCCAGACUCCUACGGGAGGCAGCAGUGGGGAAUUUUGGACAAUGGGGGCAACCCUGAUCCAGCAAUGCCGCGUGUGUGAAGAAGGCCUUCGGGUUGUAAAGCACUUUUGUCCGGAAAGAAAACUUCUGGGUUAAUACCCCGGGAGGAUGACGGUACCGGAAGAAUAAGCACCGGCUAACUACGUGCCAGCAGCCGCGGUAAUACGUAGGGUGCAAGCGUUAAUCGGAAUUACUGGGCGUAAAGCGUGCGCAGGCGGUUCGCUAAGACAGAUGUGAAAUCCCCGGGCUUAACCUGGGAACUGCAUUUGUGACUGGCGGGCUAGAGUAUGGCAGAGGGGGGUAGAAUUCCACGUGUAGCAGUGAAAUGCGUAGAGAUGUGGAGGAAUACCGAUGG